UAUAAUAAUAUUAGAAGGGAUGGCCUGA
rnacentral:piRNA from 1 species